AGUCGAGCGCACCUUUCGGGGUGAGCGGCGGACGGGUUAGUAACGCGUGGGAAUAUACCCUUUGGUACGGAAUAGCCUCUGGAAACGGAGAGUAAUACCGUAUGAGCCCUUCGGGGGAAAGAUUUAUCGCCAAAGGAUUAGCCCGCGUUAGAUUAGGUAGUUGGUGGGGUAAUGGCCUACCAAGCCUACGAUCUAUAGCUGGUUUUAGAGGAUGAUCAGCAACACUGGGACUGAGACACGGCCCAGACUCCUACGGGAGGCAGCAGUGGGGAAUCUUGGACAAUGGGCGCAAGCCUGAUCCAGCCAUGCCGCGUGAGUGAUGAAGGCCUUAGGGUCGUAAAGCUCUUUCGCCUGUGAAGAUAAUGACGGUAGCAGGUAAAGAAACCCCGGCUAACUCCGUGCCAGCAGCCGCGGUAAUACGGAGGGGGUUAGCGUUGUUCGGAAUUACUGGGCGUAAAGCGCACGUAGGCGGACUGGAAAGUAUGGGGUGAAAUCCCAGGGCUCAACCCUGGAACUGCCUCAUAAACUAUCAGUCUAGAGUUCGAGAGAGGUGAGUGGAAUUCCGAGUGUAGAGGUGAAAUUCGUAGAUAUUCGGAGGAACACCAGUGGCGAAGGCGGCUCACUGGCUCGAUACUGACGCUGAGGUGCGAAAGUGUGGGGAGCAAACAGGAUUAGAUACCCUGGUAGUCCACACCGUAAACGAUGAAUGCCAGUCGUCGGGUAGCAUGCUAUUCGGUGACACACCUAACGGAUUAAGCAUUC
rnacentral:rRNA from 1 species